UACGAAGGGGGCUAGCGUUGCUCGGAAUUACUGGGCGUAAAGGGCGCGUAGGCGGCCUGCUAAGUCACACGUGAAAGCCCCCGGCUCAACCGGGGAACUGCACGGGAAACUAGCAGGCUUGAGUUCGGGAGAGGGAAGCGGAAUUUCGGGUGUAGCGGUGAAAUGCGCAGAUAUCCGAAGGAACACCGGUGGCGAAGGCGGCUUCCUGGACCGACACUGACGCUGAGGCGCGAAAGCUAGGGGAGCAAACGGG
rnacentral:rRNA from 1 species